rnacentral:rRNA from 1 species
AACGCGAAGAACCUUACCUACUCUUGACAUCCCUCGAAUCUGGCUGAGAGGCUGGAGUGCCGAAAGGAGCGAGGAGACAGGUGCUGCAUGGCUGUCGUCAGCUCGUGUCGUGAGAUGUUGGGUUAAGUCCCAUAACGAGCGCAACCCCUGUCCUUAGUUGCUAACAGGUUAAGCUGAGUACUUUAAGGAGACUGCCGGUGAUAAAUCGGAGGAAGGUGGGGAUGACGUCAAGUCCUCAUGGCCCUUACGAGUAGGGCUACACACGUGCUACAAUGGACGGUACAGAGGGCUGCCAACCCGCGAGGGGGAGCAAAUCUCAGAAAGCCGUUCGUAGUCCGGAUUGAAGUCUGCAACUCGACUUCAUGAAGCUGGAAUCGCUAGUAAUCGCGAAUCAGAAUGUCGCGGUGAAUACGUUCCCGGGCCUUGUACACACCGGCUAC